rnacentral:rRNA from 1 species
AUACGGAGGGGGCAAGCGUUGUUCGGAAUUACUGGGCGUAAAGCGCGCGUAGGCGGUCUGUUUAGUCAGGCGUGAAAUCCCUGGGCUCAACCCAGGAAUUGCGUUUGAAACUGGCAGACUAGAGUUCGGGAGAGGAGAGUGGAAUUCCCAGUGUAGAGGUGAAAUUCGUAGAUAUUGGGAAGAACACCAGUGGCGAAGGCGGCUCUCUGGACCGAUACUGACGCUGAGGUGCGAAAGCGUGGGGAGCAAACAGGAGUAGAUACCCCUGUAGUCC